UGCGCAAAGCCCUUACUCCUCCUUAGUCCGUCCUUAGUAACCUACAGGCAUUCAAGCAGUGCAGACCUACCCCUCCUCCCUCGGGAAUGGAUGGUGGUAGAAUAGGUUCAGCCGUUUAGGAGUGGACCUAGAGAAUUAGUCUUCUCAGGUUUUGUCGAACAUGUUAAACUUUCUGAAUAUCAUCACUUGUCGUGAAGACAGAACAAUUGUUCUUUUUGACAACGGAGAGAAAACUACGACAGAACUUGUGGAGAAAAUGUUAGCUGUUGAUCCUUCUCAAUCUCUGAGUUACACCUGGUAUCCCGGAGACACUGUUCACAACAAUCCGUCCUUCCUUCCUUUCUCGAGAGCAUAUGCAACCUGAGAUCAGGCCUGAACCAUAUAGUUACAGAUCUGUCCUCCAGGAUGUAGACAGCUCAAUCUAGUCAACCCUAUCCUGUCCUAUCACAAUGAGGCCAUAUUCUGGUCCUCGAGAUAUUUUCUUGUAUGAGAUGCUAGUCGCCGCGAGGUCAGGAAAACCAGGCUUAAGUUUGAUCUCUUGUUAUUUCAAAAUUUUAAGAUCAAAUAAGAGUUUGGGAAAAAUUUCGCAAAAUUUUGGCUUAAUUCUUUUUCUUUUCGAACAGGACAUUUUUCCUGUUCAAUUCUAAAUUUGGUUUGAGGUGAGUUCAGUAUGUUUGAAGGGGGCUCCAGGAAUUCUAGUCAUGAGAAACUAAAUAUUUCCCCCGUGUUCCUGGUCCUUCGUCAAUCUUGAGGAACUGUGCCUCCCUCCAGCAGCGUUAAAUUAAGUUUUUUUUCGUUGCAAUUAUUUUUGCAGAUUUUAUCCUUCUCGCGGCAUCGCGGCGUGGCUGCCGCAACAAACCAUUCGGCGCAAUUUGAGAUUGUUUUCAUUCUUCCCUCACUAUUCUUGUGUUUUCUAUCAUAGUUGUUAAUUAUUAGUUUUUGUUAAAUGUUAUACAACUUGUUUGAAUCACUGUAGAUUACUCAAACUGAAAAAAAUCAAAUAAAAAUAGUAAAAGCUUAAAAA